rnacentral:rRNA from 1 species
AUGGAGUACUUCAUUGACAAACUGAAAUGGAUACUGCAAUUGGCACUGUACCUGCAGCCAACAGCAGCAGCAGAGGCAAUCAGUAGUCGAGGUGAUCGAGGGCAGAGGCAAUCAGCAGUCGAGGGCAGGCGCCAGUGGCAUCAGCAGGUCUGCGUGGUCGUCUCGCCGGCGGGGAAGAUCCGCAUGGCCCUGCCUGCCGGAUUCUUCAAGAGGGGAGCGGCGACCGGGGUCGGCAGCGGCGGCUGGGGUUGCCGCGGGGUGAGGAACCGGCGAGCAGGGCCAGGGACGCGAGCAGGGCCACGAGGAGGAGGCGCCCGUUGA